UUCAGUGAAGGUUUCCUCCCUGCUCACGAAUUCUGUCCAAAGAUAACUGCAAGGGUGUUGUGGCGCAUGUGUUCCUGCUAGUAUUAAUCUUCUCCCCAGUCCCUAGAUCGAUUUGCAUAAGCUGUUAUGUGCCACCCCCUGUGCUGGUGACCACGCGUGCAGUUCUCCCACCUCGCCAUGGCUCGGACGUCCUUAGGAGUUGCUGGCCCAUAUGAAGCUUGUUUCGUAAUCAUCUCAGGUCAGCGAAGCUCACACCAUUUACUGCUUGAACUCUACCACUAUUGGUUGCCUGAAACUAGGUGUGAAAUUUGCUCAACCAUAGGCUGUCAGGUUUCUGGAUCCCAGACUUAGUGCAUAAGGCUGAAACUAGGUUUUAGUGUGUUGAGCUCCACUUUGGUGCUUCAUAAAAAUGGUUUUGAAUGUUUUCAACCUAGGGGUACUAUACCAAAGUAGUAGAGCUAUAUCUAAGGAAUAACUUUGGUAAUGUGAGCUUGGUUUGUUGCUGUGUAAAAAUUGGAGAAAAGGUUGGCUAAAGUUGGACUAUCAGGCUGAACACAACUGAAAUUUUUUAUUCAGUUCUGUGAACUGAAUUGCAGCAGUAUGCCUAGUUUGGAAUUCAUUUGUGACUGAUUCAUGGGGUUUUGGGUUAAAGUUUACAUAGCAAAGCUGGAGACCAUAGUAAAGAGAGUAAGUUUUGUAAAGUGAGGUGGACUUGGUUCCACAUAAAUUUGGGAGUAAAAGUGGACUGUCAGGUGUUGGGAUUCAGACUUAGAAUAAUAUUUAAGUCUGAAUUUGUGUGUUUUUAUUCAAUUUGGGUCCUUGUGGUAAUUAAUCCAAGAAGAAUUGGGCUAGGAAUGCUAUAGCAAAGUGAAAGGCCAUGUUACGAGGAACAAAUCCCUUUAAAAGUUAGGCUUGAAUCCACAUAAAGUAGGAAAUAACAGCUGUCCAAAACUGAACUGUCAGAGUGACUGUGACUGAAUUUUAUCCAGUUAGCUGAAAUAGCAGUUCAGUGUGGGGGUAACUUUGGGGUACAAUAGAAUUUGCUCUGAAUGUUUUCAAUCAUGGGUUGUUAUACGAAGUUGGUAAAGCUAAAGUCGGAGUAUAACUUUGGCUAAGAAGUUUUGGUCUGUACCAUUGAAAUUGUGAGAUACCAGUGGCUUUAACAGGGAGGUGUGUAGAUGGGGCAGCAGACCUAAGGUAAUUGAGUUCAGGCUUUCAUUUGAAAACUAACGAAGAUCACCCCUGCUGCUCUCACCUGUGUUUGUGAAUGGAAGUGAGGGGAAACAGAGACUGAAUAUUGGUUGUGGUGUCGAUUAUGUAAAGUUUAAGUAUCUAAAAUUGAAUUCGAUUCAAUUCUUUUUCAGUUACCUGAAUUUGAGUUUUUGUGUUUUCACCUCAAGUUAGUGUUCAACUUGAGAUCUGUUUAGGGUCAGCUGGUAGCCAUUGAACAAAGAUAAAGAGUGAUUAUAGAGGAACAACUCCUAGUAGGGGAUUAUGUCGAGCCCUCAUGUGGAAUUGAGAAGAAGUAUAGUCUUGUGAUGUUUUAUAGUAUUUUAUUUGCAAACAGCAUAAGGCAUAAGCAUUCAUGUUCAUGUCAUUUCCUGUAGAGCUCCCAAAAUAAAGAGUGAAGAUUCAAGAUGAAGUGGUUGCUAAAGAGGACUCUACUCCAGUGCCUGGUCAUCAAGUGGAUGGAGCCAUCUAACUGGGGUUUAAUAGAGGGAUUUAGACCUCCGUCUCUGCAACAAAGGCAAGCCCCGGUGCAUUUACCCCUUCAUUGUAUUUUUAAAAAGACUUUUAUACACUUAAGUCUAAUCAAAUGUGCAUUAAGUUUAUAGGAAUUGCUUGGAAACUAUUUGAUGCAUUGACUACCUUGAUAUCCAUGCCUUUAUAGAUACUUUGAUGAAGUAUCAAAAUAUGAUUUAAAAAAAUGCUUAGCCCUGCUUAGAUCUUGUGGAUAGAGGUUGUCUUUUGCAAUAAUGCCUAGCUCAAGGGUUAUCCUAAGGAAGGAUGACUUCUACCUGCAAGAAUAUUUUCAUUGGGAGCAUGGUGGGAUCUUACUGCAAAGUUCCCUAUAAUGCUCUUUUCAUCCUUAGGAACACAAAACAAUCCUAAGGGUGGAAGUACUUAGCUUGAGACUUGGGCUAGGAACAGGUGAUGCUCCACCCAGGUUAAUUAAGGAUUGGAUGCGUAUGUAGGCCUGUAUGAUCAAGGACUAUCUUAACUGGCCACAUGCCCUAGAUAUGGGAUAGGGUAAGCUUGAACCCGGCUAUUCCAUACGUGAGAAGACAACCUCGCACUGGGCAUGGGAGAUGGUGGGAGUAGCGUGUACCCUCCUGGCUAGAGGCUGGACGGAGGAGUACUGUGCUCCCGGGUAGCGCGAACCGGUUCACAUUAUGGAAGAUCUGUGGGAAUGGUUGACAUAUGCAAGGGUUAAGUGCUACAUAUGUCGUGUGGUUAGAGAUCCUCAGCUGAGUAAAUCGAUUCGGAUCGUCGUUAUAUCCCCGGAUAGUGGAGACUUGAUCUCUGACCUGCAACCUAGGUCAGGAUGUAAACAUUAUGAAUAAAAAUGAUGUUGUAUUGAUAAGAUGGUGAAAUUAGACUAGAUGCAACCAGAGUUUAUUAAUAUUUAAUAUGGCGUUAAAAUAUUGAAAGUAAGGACUCACUUUAAUAAGCUAUUUCCGCAAAAGUAUCUAAGUUGUUUGCUAAAGCCUUUUCCUUGAUUACUAUUUAACCAGCAUAUCCUUGAGAGUCAUUUUUCCUUAGUCGGGUAAGACUGCGAAAGUACACUUCGUACUCAGGGUUUUCGAACACAUGUUGUUGUAGGUGUUGAGGAGUACUCUAAGUGAUUCAGAGGCUGGAGGGCAUUUCCAGUUUUAGGGGAGGAUUAGUUAGGCUUGUGUAUAAGCUUUGGAGGGUUCCUACCUUCCUGCUAUUGUAAUAAGUUAUGCACUUUAUGUAUAUCAGGACUUGUAAUAAAUGUAACUCUUCCUAUGUAAUAACCUUCAGUUUUAGAAAUGAAAAGAAUGUUUUGUAAAGUCUUCCGCUCUUAUCUCCGAAGUGUGUGUGUAUCGAAUGUGAUUAUUGUAAUAUGCAUGUAUGGUGGGAGAUCCUUGGGAUGAUGAGUUCAAGUUGUUGAACUCGUGAUAGCCUUGUUAAGUUACCUGGUACACGUGCAUAGCCAUGUGAGGCCAUCAAGGCAAGGAUUGGUGCACGUGGGCCCGAUAACUUGGGAGGGCUGCCAUAGAGUGGUAUCACAGCGAUCCCCCAUUAUCAUGGAUAUUAAAGUAAUCCUUUGAUAAACUUCAAAAGAAUUUUGAGUUCAAAUUAUUUUGAAAAAAACGUAAGAAUAUGAUCAAAUCCUGAUAGUCGAAGUGCAAAUAGUAUAUAGUUAAGAUAAGAACUAUAAGGUGGCUUAGUUUAGGAUGCUAACCACUAACCCACAACUAUAAUGCAAUUUUCUGCAGGUACACUAACUAAAACCCUAGGAAAGUGCGACUAGAGAUCAAUGACGGAGUAAGUAGGAUUGCCACCGCCAUAGAACGUGAUAGCCACUAUGUGUUGGCAAGAAUUGUGAGGACGAAUAGGACGAGCAUGCAUCAUGACAUACAACUUUAAGUUAAACCCCCUAUGUAGUAGCUUAGUACAUGUUUCAUCCAUCCUAUUCAUGCUACCUAUCUUUGCUUUUCUAUACUACCUUUUCCUAUUCGUGAAGCCUUGAAACUCAGUUCAUUUGGUGGACCUGUAGUUUAUAAGGUACAGUUGCCAAAGAAUUUUUCAACAGUGCACGACAUGUUCUACGUGUCCCAGUUAAAGAAAUGUCUUCGAGUCCCCAAGCAUGUUAUUGAGAUUUCAGAUGUUAAACUUGGACCAGAUUUAACCUACUUGGAAUAUCCCAUAAAGGUGUUGGAUCUAAAGGAUCAGGUCACUCGAAGAAAAGCUAUCAAGUUUUACUAGAUAUAGUGGAACCAACACCUAGAAGAUAAGCCAUAUUGGAAUCGAUGGAGUAUUUAGAAAAACAUUUUCUUGAGUUCUUAGUUCCUUCUAAGCCCUAAGUUUUAUGUAGUUGUUUUUUUAUGUGAACCAACAAGGGUACACCCCCUAUCUUGUAGGUGUAAUGAGGAAAGAAACUGGUGACACGUUUCCUUUUCCAUUAUGUAACCUAGAGUUUUAAAUCUCGGGACGAGAUUUCUUUUUAGGGGGGAAGGCUGUAACACCCCUGGUGUUACGUGAACUAAAACUUGGACAUGUCAUCAUAAGCAUUUGCAUUAACUUGCUUGUUACACCUAGAAUGCAUUCACUAGGAUAAAAAUGUUACAAUAAGGCGAUGCUGUGUGCAGAGUAGAGGACCUAGUUAAGGACCUAAGCUAAACAGGAGUAGGUCAUCCCUUGAGCAAGUAAUAAACUUGACUUGGAGCCUUGAAGUGCUAAAGGCAAUUCCUAGAGUCUAUAGAAAAUUUGUUUUCAAAGAUAGAUCAAGUGGAAGAAAUACUUGGACCGAAGGAUUAACUUCAAAAUCCUAAGGCUUGAAAACCUUGAUUGGAAUUGAGUGUAAGCAAACAACUCCUAAAUCAAGGAUACUUUGGACCUGAGUUCUAUAAGACAAAGUUGGAUUUGAGAUUAAGGAGCAACUUUACUUUAGGAGGAUGGAUAAGUUUGCUUUUGAUAUGUGGAUUAGAAGUGGUGAAGUACUUAGGGUGGUUGAGUAUCUCUAACCCCUAAACUGGAGCCCAAAAGUGGAUUUGGAGAUCUAGCCACAUUUUGCAAGAGGUAAAAAUACCAAGUUGGUAGGAUUUCCAAAGUUGCACAAUUUUGUUAUUUGGAGAUUUCCAAGUUGUGUGGAGAAAUUUACAAAGGUUCAGUUUUGGAGUUCCUAAAAAUCGCAGCAACUAGACAAUUUUAAUCCUUUGUAACUUUUGAUCUAGAACCAUUUUGAAGAUGAUCGUUAUAAUAAAGUUAUAGAGCUACAUGAGGAGUAUAAGUUUGGUUAAGUCAUAUAGCUCUAAAACUAUUUGGAACUUUGAGUAAAACUGGUCCAAAGUAAAGUUGUCAAAAAUUGUGGAUUUCAGACUUAGUGAAAUUCAGAUUCUGAAUUUCAGCAAUUGGAGCAAACUUUGGGCUAUUGUAGUUUGGAAUUCAAGAGGUUUUGGUUAAUGGUCAAUAUAUCAAACUUGUAGACGAACUAUAGGAGUAUAAACUUUAUUAAGCAACUUUCCCCUAAAAACAUUUGGAACCCAGGAAAAAGAGUGGUUCCAAGUGGUGCUGGUGUGUUUCUGAAUUUUCAGAUUGGAAACAGUAACUGCAACUGAAUUUCAGUGUUUUGAUAGCAGUUUUGAAGCCUAUUUGUGGCUAUUCUACAAGGUUUUGUGUUUUGGUGUUUGUAGAAUAAGUGACGACCAUAUAAUGUGGAACAAACUUUCUUAUAGGGUGGUGGACCUGAUCCCAUACAAAAAGUGCAGAAAUAGUUGCUCAAAGAUUGGAUUGUCAAGUUGGUUAAUAACUGAAUUUUAAUUCAGUUCUGAAUCCUGAAUGGCAGCAAGUUGCCCAGUUUGGAGCUCUAUGAUAAUUAAUUUAUGGAGAUUUUGGUUAAGAGUUCUGUAGUAAAGGCAAAGUACAUAUGAAGGGGAACACUUUUUAUGCAAAGGGUUGACUUGUUACUGUGUAGAAUUUGGAGAAAAAGGAGUGACAAAAUGCUCUGUCAGGCUCAGUGUGAUGCCGUUUCAGAUUUCUGAAACUGAAUUUUCAGUGACAUUGGCUGUACUUUGGGGCACUGUAACUUUUGAUCCUUUCAUUUUUGGUCUUCGACUGCUGCAACAAACUAAUAGAGCUAUAGUUGGAGAAUGCUUUUGGUUGAAAGGGAUGGGUUUGUUGCCAUGGUGAUUUGUGCAAUAACAAGGCUUCAAUAGGGAGGUGCAGAUGGUGCAGCAGGGCUGUUUCAGUCACGUUCAGAGUUUGGUUUGGAAACUGAACAAGAUCAUCCCCUGCUGCUCGCCUUUGUUUGUGUUUAUAGGUUGAGAUGUGUAUGGAAUGGAUGCCUGAUGUCUAGAAGCCUCAAUCCCGACAGAAAGUAUCUAGUUUCGGAUUAAUUUGUGCUUGCUCACAGGUGCACAAUUAUCUAUUGCCCUGGACAAAGAAAAAUAAAACAGGAUCUAGUAACCUCAUCUCAGCAGAAAUAUCAAGUAUUGGACCACUUUGUGCUUAGCCACAAGUGAUGUUCCCAGCUGCUUUUCUUUUGUUUGCAGUAGAAGACAAAAUGGAUAUUUUGGCUUUGGGGAAGGGACCAAAUUCAGUGUCUCUGAUUGGUGCUGUGAACCAGACCAGGUGCAGUGACUGCACUAUGGAUCAGGUUGGGGAAUAAAGAAAAAGAUCUUUUACCUCUCGGCUGCUGUAGAAAAUAUCAGGUUUUGGGGUAUUUGAAGCCUGCCCUCGAUGGAGUUCUCAUCGGCUGCUUCUCUAGUUAUUCUCAAGUGAUAUUUUGGUGUAGAGCUUGACCAGGUUCAGUGUUUCUUUGGACAGUGCAUGUGAGCCAGCAAAGUAUAUGUGCAUGGGAGCCACGUUGAGUUGCUCCUGCAGUGCUGCUGUGCUGGCAUGCCCCAGAAUUCAUGUUCACCAAGUUGUGGUCGAGUUCCAUAUGCCUACCUACAUAAUCAGUGAUGCCUGCCCAUAUAUAUACAACCCUUUGGUUGGGUUCAGUGAAGGUUUCCUCCCUGCUCACGAAUUCUGUCCAAAGAUAACUGAAGGGUGUUGUGGCGCAUGUGUUCCUGCUAGUAUUAAUCUUCUCCCCAGUCCCUAGAUCGAUUUGCUUAAGCUGGUAUGUGCCACCCCCUGUGCUGGUGACCACGCGUGCAGUUCUCCCACCUCGCCAUGGCUCGGACGUCCUUAGGAGUUGCUGGCCCGUAUGAAGCUUGUUCCGUAAUCAUCUCAG
rnacentral:lncRNA from 1 species